GGGGAUGUGGCUCAAGUGGUAGCGUGCUUGCCUAGCAUGCAUGAGGCACUGGGUUCAAUUCUCAGCGCCUCA
rnacentral:tRNA from 1 species